UACAGAGGUCUCAAGCGUUGUUCGGAUUCAUUGGGCGUAAAGGGUGCGUAGGCGGCGCGGUAAGUCGGGGUGUGAAAUCGUUGGAGCUUAACUCCGAAACUGCAUUCGAUACUGCCGUGCUUGAGGACUGGAGAAGGAGACUGGAAUUUACGGUGUAGCGGUGAAAUGCGUAGAUAUCGAUGAAGGAAGACCAGUGGCGAAGGCGGG
rnacentral:rRNA from 1 species